GUAGGUGGCAAGCGUUGUCCGGAAUUAUUGGGCGUAAAAGCGCGCGCAGGCGGGGUCCUUUAAGUCUGAUGUGAAAGCCCACGGGCUCAACCGUGGAGGGUCAUUGGAAACUGGGGGACUUGAGUACAGAAGAGGAAAGCGGAAUUCCAAGUGUAGCGGUGAAAUGCGUAGAGAUUUGGAGGAACACCAGUGGCGAAGGCGGCUUUCUGGUCUGUAACUGACGCUGAGGCGCGAAAGCGUGGGGAGCAAACAGGAUUAGAUACCCUGGUAGUCCACGCCGUAAACGAUGAGUGCUAAGUGUUAGGGGGUUUCCGCCCCUUAGUGCUGCAGCUAACGCAUUAAGCACUCCGCCUGGGGAGUACGGCCGCAAAGGCUG
rnacentral:rRNA from 1 species